rnacentral:tRNA from 1 species
GCCACCAUUGCUUAGCCAGGUAGAGCGGCUGACUUGUAAUCAGCAGGCCGAGGGUUCGAAUCCCUCUGGUGGCUCCA